rnacentral:rRNA from 1 species
AGCGAACGCUGGCGGCAGGCCUAACACAUGCAAGUCGAACGGAUCCUUCGGGAUUAGUGGCGGACGGGUGAGUAACACGUGGGAACGUGCCCUUUGGUUCGGAACAACUCAGGGAAACUUGAGCUAAUACCGGAUGUGCCCUUCGGGGGAAAGAUUUAUCGCCAUUGGAGCGGCCCGCGUCUGAUUAGCUAGUUGGUGAGGUAACGGCCCACCAAGGCGACGAUCAGUAGCUGGUCUGAGAGGAUGAUCAGCCACACUGGGACUGAGACACGGCCCAGACUCCUACGGGAGGCAGCAGUGGGGAAUCUUGCGCAAUGAGCGAAAGCCUGACGCAGCCAUGCCGCGUGAAUGAUGAAGGUCUUAGGAUUGUAAAAUUCUUUCAGCGGGGACGAUAAUGACGGUACCCGCAGAAGAAGCUCCGGCUAACUUCGUG